rnacentral:rRNA from 1 species
GAACGCUAGCUACAGGCUUAACACAUGCAAGUCGAGGGGCAGCAUGGUCUUAGCUUGCUAAGGCCGAUGGCGACCGGCGCACGGGUGAGUAACACGUAUCCAACCUGCCGUCUACUCUUGGACAGCCUUCUGAAAGGAAGAUUAAUACAAGAUGGCAUCAUGAGUCCGCAUGUUCACAUGAUUAAAGGUAUUCCGGUAGACGAUGGGGAUGCGUUCCAUUAGAUAGUAGGCGGGGUAACGGCCCACCUAGUCUUCGAUGGAUAGGGGUUCUGAGAGGAAGGUCCCCCACAUUGGAACUGAGACACGGUCCAAACUCCUACGGGAGGCAGCAGUGAGGAAUAUUGGUCAAUGGGCGAGAGCCUGAACCAGCCAAGUAGCGUGAAGGAUGACUGCCCUAUGGGUUGUAAACUUCUUUUAUAAAGGAAUAAAGUCGGGUAUGGAUACCCGUUUGCAUGUACUUUAUGAAUAAGGAUCGGCUAACUCCGUGCCAGCAGCCGCGGUAAUACGGAGGAUCCGAGCGUUAUCCGGAUUUAUUGGGUUUAAAGGGAGCGUAGAUGGAUGUUUAAGUCAGUUGUGAAAGUUUGCGGCUCAACCGUAAAAUUGCAGUUGAUACUGGAUAUCUUGAGUGCAGUUGAGGCAGGCGGAAUUCGUGGUGUAGCGGUGAAAUGCUUAGAUAUCACGAAGAACUCCGAUUGCGAAGGCAGCCUGCUAAGCUGCAACUGACAUUGAGGCUCGAAAGUGUGGGUAUCAAACAGGAUUAGAUACCCUGGUAGUCCACACGGUAAACGAUGAAUACUCGCUGUUUGCGAUAUACAGCAAGCGGCCAAGCGAAAGCGUUAAGUAUUCCACCUGGGGAGUACGCCGGCAACGGUGAAACUCAAAGGAAUUGACGGGGGCCCGCACAAGCGGAGGAACAUGUGGUUUAAUUCGAUGAUACGCGAGGAACCUUACCCGGGCUUAAAUUGCAGAUGAAUUACGGUGAAAGCCGUAAGCCGCAAGGCAUCUGUGAAGGUGCUGCAUGGUUGUCGUCAGCUCGUGCCGUGAGGUGUCGGCUUAAGUGCCAUAACGAGCGCAACCCUUGUUGUCAGUUACUAACAGGUUCUGCUGAGGACUCUGACAAGACUGCCAUCGUAAGAUGUGAGGAAGGUGGGGAUGACGUCAAAUCAGCACGGCCCUUACGUCCGGGGCUACACACGUGUUACAAUGGGGGGUACAGAGGGCCGCUACCACGCGAGUGGAUGCCAAUCCCCAAAACCUCUCUCAGUUCGGACUGGAGUCUGCAACCCGACUCCACGAAGCUGGAUUCGCUAGUAAUCGCGCAUCAGCCACGGCGCGGUGAAUACGUUCCCGGGCCUUGUACACACCGCCCGUCAAGCCAUGGGAGCCGGGGGUACCUGAAGUGCGUAACCGCGAGGAGCGCCCUAGGGUAAAACUGGUGACUGGG